rnacentral:rRNA from 1 species
UGGAUCCAGACUUUGAUCAUGGCUCAGGAUGAACGCUAGCUACAGGCUUAACACGUGCAAGUCGAGGGGAAACGACAUCGAAAGCUUGCUUUUGAUGGGCGUCGACCGGCGCACGGGUGAGUAACGCGUAUCCAACCUGCCCACCACUUGGGGAUAACCUUGCGAAAGUAAGACUAAUACCCAAUGAUAUCUCUAGAAGACAUCUGAAAGAGAUUAAAGAUUUAUCGGUGAUGGAUGGGGAUGCGUCUGAUUAGCUUGUUGGCGGGGUAACGGCCCACCAAGGCAACGAUCAGUAGGGGUUCUGAGAGGAAGGUCCCCCACAUUGGAACUGAGACACGGUCCAAACUCCUACGGGAGGCAGCAGUGAGGAAUAUUGGUCAAUGGACGAGAGUCUGAACCAGCCAAGUAGCGUGCAGGAAGACGGCCCUAUGGGUUGUAAACUGCUUUUAUAAGGGAAUAAAGUGAGAGUCGUGACUCUUUUUGCAUGUACCUUAUGAAUAAGGACCGGCUAAUUCCGUGCCAGCAGCCGCGGUAAUGCGGAAGGUCCGGGCGUUAUCCGGAUUUAUUGGGUUUAAAGGGAGCGUAGGCCGGAGAUUAAGCGUGUUGUGAAAUGUAGACGCUCAACGUCUGCACUGCAGCGCGAACUGGUUUCCUUGAGUACGCACAAAGUGGGCGGAAUUCGUGGUGUAGCGGUGAAAUGCUUAGAUAUCACGAAGAACACCGAUUGCGAAGGCAGCUCACUGGAGCGCAACUGACGCUGAAGCUCGAAAGUGCGGGUAUCGAACAGGAUUAGAUACCCUGGUAGUCCGCACGGUAAACGAUGGAUGCCCGCUGUUGGUCUGAAUAGGUCAGCGGCCAAGCGAAAGCAUUAAGCAUCCCACCAGGGGAGUACGCCGGCAACGGUGCAACUCAAAGGAAUUG